GACGAACGCUGGCGGCGUGCCUAACACAUGCAAGUCGAGCGGAGAUAAGCGGAUGGUAACUGAAGUUUGUCUUAGCGGCGGACGGGUGAGUAACACGUGGGCAACCUGCCUUAGAGUGGGGGAUAACACCGGGAAAUCGGUGCUAAUACCGCAUAACAUACACAAACUGCAUGGUAAGUGUAUCAAAGGAGCAAUCCGCUUUAAGAUGGGCCCGCGGCUGAUUAGCUAGUUGGUAAGGUAACGGCUUACCAAGGCGACGAUCAGUAGCCGACCUGAGAGGGUGACCGGCCACACUGGAACUGAGACACGGUCCAGACUCCUACGGGAGGCAGCAGUGGGGAAUAUUGCGCAAUGGGGGAACCCUGACGCAGCAACGCCGCGUGGAGGAAGAAGGUCUUCGGAUUGUAAACUCCUGUCUUCUGGACGAAGAAUGAACGGUCCAGAGGAGGAAGCCAACGGCUAACACGUG
rnacentral:rRNA from 1 species